rnacentral:rRNA from 1 species
GACGAACGCUGGCGGCGUGCUUAACACAUGCAAGUCGAACGGAAAGGCCCUGCUUUUGUGGGGUGCUCGAGUGGCGAACGGGUGAGUAACACGUGAGUAACCUGCCCUUGACUUUGGGAUAACUUCAGGAAACUGGGGCUAAUACCGGAUAGGAGCUCCUGCUGCAUGGUGGGGGUUGGAAAGUUUCGGCGGUUGGGGAUGGACUCGCGGCUUAUCAGCUUGUUGGAGGGGUAGUGGCUUACCAAGGCUUUGACGGGUAGCCGGCCGGAGAGGGUGACCGGCCACAUUGGGACUGAGAUACGGCCCAGACUCCUACGGGAGGCAGCAGUGGGGAAUAUUGCACAAUGGGCGGAAGCCUGAUGCAGCAACGCCGCGUGCGGGAUGACGGCCUUCGGGUUGUAAACCGCUUUCGCCUGUGACGAAGCGUGAGUGACGGUAAUGGGUAAAGAAGCACCGGCUAACUACGUG